rnacentral:misc_RNA from 1 species
UUAACAAAACAACAACCUGCAUAAGUAAAAGGUUUUUAACCUGAUUUAUUCGGUACAUUUCUAACAAUGGCAAAGAUGUGCAAACAAACCACACUUACACCAGCUGUACAUGUAUUUAAAUAGGCAUGCAUGCCUUUGUUAACAGAGAAGACAAAAUCAACCUAGCCUUAAGAGUGAAUAAUUAAAACCCUAGACCCACAAAUCUGAUUGCUUGUUACUAUCAGGUCAUUGAAUGUGACAGGCAUUCAAUCGGCAGUUAUCCUAAGUAAGGAAAGGGUGAAUUAAGAAAGCCUCAAUUUACAACAGUCAACAGAUGUAAGCUGCUAGAUCAUACCACAAAUACAACUUUACUACAAAAAUGAAGAGAACAAGAUGGCGUAUUUGACUGAAAAGAAUCCAUAUAGAACAAGAAAACAAAAAGUGAAGGAUUUUCUUUUCCACUGCUUUGUAAACAGGAAAAAGAUUUUAUCUCAUAACUAAUUCAAAAUGUAUUUCCUCACACAGUAGUAUGCUUUAACAAAGGAAAUACAAGAAAAUUUAUGCUAGCAAAACCUCACAACAUGACAGAAAGGAAUGUUCGAGUACCAAUCAGAAUGAUAUUAAUGAAUGGUUAAGGAUAAACCAAGGAGUAUGAGUUGUUCAAAGUGCCUGCCUCUCCCCUACUUGUCUAUCCACAAGCAUAUAAUACAGUAACCACUGAGAGUAUGACAAUACAACCACCACUGAUAGUACUUUCUAAUGUUGAAAAUAUACCUAAUUGUCCACACUUAAGCACACAGAAAUAUAUCCAAUACCAAAACAGAAAAGAUCCAUAGCAAAUCAGUGAAUAGAAAAAUUACAGGAUAUCUUUACAAAUCUGUCUACAGUUUUGCAACCAGCAACAUCAUCAAACAGAAAUUAGAUCACCAUGCAAACAAGGCAUCCAUCUUAACUACAUUGUCAAGCCAUUUGUAGACAAGAUCAGAAAAACAAACAUCAGGUUUGCUUAGUAAAGCACAGUUUGUAGCUUAUACAGAGUCCCAAAAGGAAAAAAAAGAUUAAAGAAAAUGCCUAUUUGCCAGCAAAAUCGCCAAUUUUACAAAAUUUCCAGGCUUUUACUUCCAAUGCUCCAAAACUUCUAUAAGAAACACAUCCACAUACCAAAUACAACUAAAUUAUAACAGGUAAAAGUUAAAAGCUAAAGUGAGUGGAUUUUUGUCCAGAAAAAAGUAAGAAUGGUUAAAAAUAAUCAAUUAGAAAAAAAAGAAAGAGAAAUACUAACAGGGUUGACUAAGUUGGUACAUCUGGAUGUGAUUCUAGAUGAAGGAUCAUGAUUUAAUGUCCAAGCCCUUAACUGAAGCAUAAUAAAAGGAAGAAAGAAGCAAUACAGAAUGCCCAAUAAGGAGCGGGAUAGUUCAGUGACCUAUUCUCACAGAAAAAGAAAUGUACGAGUCUCCUGUUGCAACAAUAAUUUAGAACAUUCUCAAAGAAUAAUACAAGUCCCUAAUCAAGAACAAAUGGCUAUCAUCUGAUCAUGAUAAUUCAUGAACAUUGCUGCAAGAGGGAUCUUUCAUACACUGCCUAUUGAUACGAUCAAAUCAUAAACCAAUAAUAUCAUACAUGCUCCUUGCUACCCUCAAGGCCAGCUUCCAAAAUUUAACAUUGCCAUAUUGAUUUGGGUGUCCCGCAUGUUAGUUAAUUUAGUUAAUUAUGCGUUAGAAUAACUGGUUCCAAUUAGGCUCAUUUCAACCUUCUACUCCAUUCUAUCCACAAAAAUGCACAACUUAAAAUUAAAACAUUCAUUCCCUGCAUAAAAAUUAGAGAACCAAAAAAUAGAAUUGAUGUUGCCAC